rnacentral:rRNA from 1 species
GACGAACGCUGGCGGCGUGCUUAACACAUGCAAGUCGAACGGUAAGGCCCUUCGGGGUACACGAGUGGCGAACGGGUGAGUAACACGGGGGUGAUCUGCCCUGCACUUCGGGCUAAGCCUGGGAAACUGGGUCUAAUACCGGAUAGGACCACUGCCUGCAUGGGUGGUGGUGGAAAGCAUUUGGCGUGUGGGAGGGGACCGCGGCCUAUCAGCUUGUGGGUGGGGUGAUGGCCUACCGAGGCGACGACGGGUAGCCGGCCUGAGAGGGUGACCGGCCACACUGGGACUGAGAUACGGCCCAGACUCCUACGGGAGGCAGCAGUGGGGAAUAUUGCACAAUGGGCGCAAGCCUGAUGCAGCGACGCCGCGUGAGGGAUGACGGCCUUCGGGUUGUAAACCUCUUUCAGCACCGACGAAGCGCAAGUGACGGUAGGUGCAGAAGAAGGACCGGCCAACUACGUGCCAGCAGCCGCUGUAA